AACGAACGCUGGCGGCAGGCUUAACACAUGCAAGUCGAACGCGUGUAGCAAUACACGAGUGGCGCACGGGUGAGUAACGCGUGGAUAUCUGCCUUUUGGUUCGGAAUAACCCCGGGAAACUGGGGCUAAUACCGGAUGGUUCCUUCGGGAUAAAGAUUUAUCGCCAAAAGAUGAGUCCGCGUACGAUUAGCUAGUUGGUGAGGUAAUGGCUCACCAAGGCGACGAUCGUUAGCUGGUCUGAGAGGACGAUCAGCCACACUGGGACUGAGACACGGCCCAGACUCCUACGGGAGGCAGCAGUGGGGAAUAUUGGACAAUGGGGGCAACCCUGAUCCAGCCAUGCCGCGUGAGUGAUGAAGGCCUUCGGGUUGUAAAGCUCUUUUGGCGGGGACGA
rnacentral:rRNA from 1 species